GACGAACGCUGGCGGCGUGCUUAACACAUGCAAGUCGAACGGAAAGGCCCCUUUGGGGGUACUCGAGUGGCGAACGGGUGAGUAACACUUGAGUAACCUGCCCUUGACUUCGGGAUAACUUCAGGAAACUGGGGCGAAUACCGGAUAGGAAUCCUUGCUGCAUGGUGGGGGUUGGAAAGCUUCGGCGGUUUUGGAUGGACUCGCGGCUGAUCAGGUGGUUGGUUGGGUAGUGGCUUACCAAGGCGUUGACGGGUAGCCGGCCUUAGAGGGCGACCGGCCACAUUGGGACUGCGAUACGGACCAGACUCCUACGGGAGGCAGCAGUGGGGAAUAUUGCACAAUGGGCGGACGCCUGAUGCAGCAACGCCGCGUGCGGGAUGACGGCCUUCGGGUUGUAAACCGCUUUCAGCAGGGGAGAAGCUUGUGGUGACGGUACCUGCAGAAGAAGCACCGGCUAACUACGUG
rnacentral:rRNA from 1 species